CAGUAGCCGCGGUAAUACGGAGGGUGCAAGCGUUAAUCGGAAUUACUGGGCGUAAAGCGUGCGUAGGCGGUUCGUUAAGUCUGCUGUGAAAGCCCCGGGCUCAACCUGGGAAUGGCAGUGGAUACUGGCGAGCUAGAGUGUGUCAGAGGAUGGUGGAAUUCCCGGUGUAGCGGUGAAAUGCGUAGAGAUCGGGAGGAACAUCAGUGGCGAAGGCAGCCAUCUGGCCUAAUACUGACGCUGAGGUACGAAAGCAUGGGGAGCAAACAGGAUUAGAUACCCCUGUAGUCCCUGUCUCUUAUAC
rnacentral:rRNA from 1 species